rnacentral:rRNA from 1 species
AGCGAACGCUGGCGGCAGGCUUAACACAUGCAAGUCGAACGCCCCGCAAGGGGAGUGGCAGACGGGUGAGUAACACGUGGGAACGUACCCUUUGGUUCGGAAUAACUUGGGGAAACUCAAGCUAAUACCGGAUAAGCCCUUAUGGGGAAAGGUUUACUGCCGAAGGAUCGGCCCGCGUCUGAUUAGCUAGUUGGUGAGGUAAUGGCUCACCAAGGCGACAAUCAGUAGCUGGUCUGAGAGGAUGAUCAGCCACACUGGGACUGAGACACGGCCCAGACUCCUACGGGAGGCAGCAGUGGGGAAUAUUGGACAAUGGGGGCAACCCUGAUCCAGCCAUGCCGCGUGAGUGAUGAAGGCCUUAGGGUUGUAAAGCUCUUUUACCCGGGACGAUAAUGACUGUACCGGAAGAAUAAGCCCCGGCUAACUUCGUGCCAGCAGCCGCGGUAA